rnacentral:rRNA from 1 species
GACGAACGCUGGCGGCGUGCUUAACACAUGCAAGUCGAACGGAAAGGCCAUGCUUUUGUGGGGUGCUCGAGUGGCGAACGGGUGAGUAACACGUGAGUAACCUGCCCUUGAAUUUGGGAUAACUUCAGGAAACUGGGGCUAAUACCGGAUAGGAGCUCCUGCUGCAUGGUGGGGGUUGGAAAGUUUCGGCUGUUGGGGAUGGACUCGGGGCGUAUCAGCUAGUUGGUGGGGUAGUGGCUUACCCAGGCUUUGAUGGGUAGCCGACCUGAGAGGGUGGUCGGCCACACUGGAACGGAGACACGGUCCAGACUGCUACGGGAGGCAGCAGGAGGGAAUCUUGCGCGAUGGGCGGAAGCCUGACGGAGCAACGCCGCGUGAGUGAUGAAGGACCUCGGAUCGUAAAACGCUGUUAUUCGGGAAGAAAAACUGUGUAAGUAACUAUGCACGUCUUGACGGUACCUAGUCAGAAAGCCACGGCUAACUACGUG